UACGUAGGAGGCGAGCGUUGUCCGGAAUUACUGGGCGUAAAGAGCGCGUGGGCGGCACUGUACGACCGCUGUGAAAGCCCCCGGCUCAACUGGGGAGGGUCAGUGGUAACGGCAGAGCUGUGAGUGCAGGAGAGGGAAGUGGAACUCCGGGAGUAGCGGUGAAAUGCGUAGAGACCCGGAGGAACACCAGUGGCGAAGGCGGCUUCCUGGUCUGCGACUGACGCUGUGGCGCGAAAGCUAGGGGAGCGAACGGG
rnacentral:rRNA from 1 species